GUGCUGCAACAUUUUGCUGCCGGUCACGGUUCGAACGUACGGACGUCCAGCUGCUAAGCAUCCACUUGGACGCCUUCCUAGUAAUGACUUUACAUUGUUGAAGAUAACUUUCCAAGGUCUCAUCCGCGAUGUUGCGGCUUUACUGGAAGAGUG
rnacentral:rRNA from 1 species